rnacentral:rRNA from 1 species
UAAGCGGUGAAGCGGCAACAGCUCAAAUUUGAAAGCUGCUCGGGUCCGCUUUAAUUUGUAGGGAUGCUUGGGGCACCGCCUGUCUAAGUUCCUUGGAACAGGACGUCAUAGAGGGUGAGAAUCCCGUAUGUGACAGGACAUGGCACCCUAUGUAAAGCUCCUUCGACGAGUCGAGUUGUUUGGGAAUGCAGCUCUAAAUGGGAGGUAAAUUUCUUCUAAAGCUAAAUACCGGCGAGAGACCGAUAGCGCACAAGUAGAGUGAUCGAAAGAUGAAAAGCACUUUGGAAAGAGAGUUAAAAAGCACGUGAAAUUGUUGAAAGGGAAGCGCUUGCAAUCAGACUUGUUUUGACUGUUCGGCCGGUCUUCUGACCGGUUUACUCAGUCUGGACAGGCCAGCAUCAGUUUUGGCGGCCGGAUAAAGGCCUAGGGAAUGUGGCUCCCGCUUCGGUGGGAGUGUUAUAGCCCUGGGUGUAAUACGGCCAGCCGGGACUGAGGUCCGCGCUUCGGCUAGGAUGCUGGCGUAAUGGUUGUAAGCGACCCGUCUUGAAACACGGACCAAGGAGUCUAACAUCUAUGCGAGUGUUCGGGUGUCAAACCCCUGCGCGUAAUGAAAGUGAACGGAGGUGGGAACCGCAAGGUGCACCAUCGACCGAUCCUGAUGUCUUCGGAUGGAUUUGAGUAAGAGCAUAGCUGUUGGGACCCGAAAGAUGGUGAACUAUGCCUGAGGGUGAAGCCAGAGGAAACUCUGGGAGGCUCGCAGCGGUCUGACGUGCAAUCGAUCGUCAAAUUUGGUAUGGGGCGAAAUA